ACGUGUCUGUGCCUACGUGCGUGCGACCGUGCGUGCGUGGCUGCUGUCUGAGGAUUGCCCCCAAUCCCCUGGACGUGGGAAUGGCUUCAACGCAUGCGCCACCACCAGUCCGCCACACGCACCUCUGAAGUCCUAGUGCAAGCAAGAUUAGAGGGUGGUGAUAAGCGUGUUGCACGUACGGGCACGCAUCGGAACAGGUAGGGGCUACCCUGCAUCCGAACUUC
rnacentral:lncRNA from 1 species